UACAAAUUGUCUUUAUUGGAAAAAAGCAGAUUAUAGCAUCUAACGUUAAAUGAAACUUCUGACUUUAAUAUUAAAUAACUUAGAAUGAUAGGAAGUAGCUUCUUCUUUAGAUAAAUAAAUCUACAUUUCCCAAUUUUUUUCUUAACAACAAUCAAGGGAAUCAAACACUGAAACACAAAACCACAAGUAAUUCUAAAGACUAAGACAGAAGCACAUUGAAAGGUUUUACAAAGAUAUAUAUAUACAAAAAUAGUUAAACUAAUGUAUAUUUUCAGCAUGUAAACUAGUUACAUGAUAUACAAACUGGGAAUUUAUAUAUUUCCUACAAAAUAAAAAUCAACGUUGGUCCAAGUUCUUGGAAGAAAACUAUAUUCUUUUAAAGAAAAUGAAAAUAUUUCUUAACUGAAAACUUAAUUUAAGUCAAAUCAUAUACUCUAGUUACGGCAUUAGUUACAGGAUGAAUCACAAACUUUUAAACUUUUCUUGAAACACAAGAAAGCAGCUUUUGUCUCCUUUAGAGCUUUGGUUUACUUUACUACUCUGGAAUUUCUGGUCUUAAAGAGCUCCUCUAACCAUGUUUUUCUUUUGAAGCUCCACCUUACAAAAUACACACACACGUGCACACAAGUUAAAGGAAAAUGAAAGAAACCCAAACAAACCCUCUUAGAAAGCUCAAUUAUCUGAGUGCAUUCUUGUUUUGUUUCAUGUUAUUAUUUUGGUCCUUUCUUUGGAAUGUGUCCUCCAGCGCAUGAGGGACUCUUGAAUUGCCUACAACAGCUUUGUGCUGUAACAUUCAUUACCAAAAUGGAAAGGUGUUGUCCUGAUGCAAAUGAGAACAAGUUGUUAUUGUUUUAACUUCAUGGAAAUAAUCUGAAAGUACAGCACAGGCUUCUGACGAGCAAUCACAUCAUAAAACGAACUAUAGAAAGUUUACAUCUGUGUUGAACUGAUUUAACAUAAGAAUACUCUUUAAGAAAAUCAUGAAGAGACGCUUUUGCAUUUAUAUAAUUCCCUAAGACAGGAGGUAAAAUGUGCAGAAACUGUCACUAGCACGAAAGAGUACAGCACAUCAUUAUUUUAGAUUUGCUUUUAUUUUUCUCUUUGAUUGGAAAAAACCUAAAAAAACCCAUCUAGCAAAUUUCACUCAAGCUCGUUUUUAUACUAAAAGUUGGAAAAGCAAAGCUGUACUUUGUUAUACAGUAAUGUAAUGCACUUGUCUAUAGAAAAUACUGGAAUAACAACUGCUGCUUUCUGGUUUUAAACAAAUUGCUUACUCUAUAUUGAAGUAUUGAUGAUACUUAACACGACAGAACUGAGAACUACAAGAGACUGACAAAUUAACAUGUGAAAUGAAACAAAAUAUUAUUCUGUUCUACCGUAUGAUUGUUUUCAAAAAAGAAGAAAAGGUAUGGUAUGUACAUGUUAGCUAAUGUGCUGUCCCUUGAAAACUAUGUUGCAGUGAAAACUUAAACUUAAACUUGACACUUAAUUUGGGUCCCUUAAUAUAUGUUGUAAAGACAAGCAAGUGAAAAUGCUUCAAAGCUAAAUGUGGUCCAAAGCAGCUUCCUUACAUGGAAAAAGUAUUACACUGCAGCUGAUGCUAAAAGUGUAUCCUGAAGCUCUGGUAUCUUCCAUAUUUGUAAAAAUCUUAAAGAACUUAACUAGUAAUAUAAUCCAAUUAAAGGCAAUUUUUUUCCUUUUUCUAGCAUUUGCUGUUUGGGCAAGAGGCACGUGUACUUCCACUUCCUUCUGAGGCUGGUCUGGUGAUUAUGAACACAAAGGUAACAUUUGCAAAUGCAGAAAAAGUGUGCAUGCACCCAAUGUCCUCUCUUUUGCAGGCCUCUUAGGCCAAACUGUAGAAAUGAGGCACUAGUUGCACUGUAGUUACUUCAAAACAUGUCUAUCACAUUAAAUAUGUUAAUUAUAAACUGAUAUAUAUUAAUUAGAAAAUGCCUUUUUAAAGGAGCAUCUGACUUGCCAAGGAGCAUUCAGUAGGACAGGUUAAUCUAGGCCAAUGAAAGUUUGGCAAAAGUUCAGGAAACAUACCUUUUGUUCCUUACUAACAGAAAAAAAAACAAAGUUCACAGGAAUUGUUCCUGCCCCUCCCUUUCCCCCUUAAGGAAAUUCCAGGCUAUCAAAAAGUUCUGUUAAGGGAGUUAAUUAUUCCACUUAAGAAUUAGUGUCCAUUGGAUGUUCUUUGUACUCUUCCAGAGGGGCUUUCAGAAAGUCAAUGGUGCAUAAGCAACAAAACAGCAAUGGUGUUACCAAAUAAGUCAUUUCAUCAGUCUGCAUGCUGACUGUAACAUGGGAUCAUUUCUGAAUGGAUCCAUCAAAUUCUCGAUGUGUUGAGAACUGGCAUGGAAAUGUCCCAAUUUACAGAUGGGGAGAAUCUGGUCUGGUAUUUCCACUUCCUCUGGAGCAGAAUAAUCUUAUUUUAUUGUAAUUUUGGGUACAGUUGAAGACAGCAAUGAUGGAUUUAUUUAAAACAUAAAUUCAGGAAGGCUGUAUUAAUUCUCAUGAGAAUGCAGAAAAUUUUUUUAAACAUACAGAUGUGUGAUUUGCAUGUAAAUCAUCAACACAUGGUAGAAAACAAACCAUAAAAAAGAUUCAUCUAACUUCCUAUAUGGAAGACAUAUAUUUCCCCAGAUCUCUGA
ensembl:lncRNA